rnacentral:rRNA from 1 species
UACGUAGGGCGCAAGCGUUGUCCGGAAUUAUUGGGCGUAAAGAGCUCGUAGGCGGUUUGUCGCGUCUGCUGUGAAAACCUAAGGCUCAACCUUGGGCUUGCAGUGGGUACGGGCAGACUAGAGUGUGGUAGGGGAGACUGGAAUUCCUGAUGUAGCGGUGAAAUGCGCAGAUAUCAGGAGGAACACCGAUGGCGAAGGCAGGUCUCUGGGCCACUACUGACGCUGAGAAGCGAAAGCAUGGGGAGCGAACAGG